AUACAAUGGGUUGAUCUGUAGAAUGGAGUGAGCUGGACAAUGGGGCUACUCACCCCACCCACCUUGCAAAGUGAUGCAGGACAGGAAAUGGGUUAAUAGAAGCUCGGAUUUAGAAGAGUGCCUGGCACGCCUAAGGGCUCAAGCCGUCUGUGUAAUUAUCUUAAACUUUUUCAUUUCGGAAAUGAAACAGCUCCUCCCUUCACCGCCACCUUGGCUAUUUCUGGGACCAAAGGAAUCCUUGAAGCUGACCGGGCAGGAGAGUCCACGCUGGGAGUAAAAUCACUACAAACUGUCCAUCAGAAGGCCCCUGCUGAGUAGUUGGCAGGGUGGCUGCACAUAAUGGAAAGCACAUAAGCUUGAAGCCAGACAGAUGGGAGUUCUAACCCCAGCCCUGCCACUUAUUCCCAGGUGACACUGAUUAUGAACAAAGCUACUGGAAAUGUCUGAGUGGAAGUUUUUGUGUGGAUGUAAGUUUUCGGCUCCUUUGGAUAAAUACCAAGGAGCAUGCUUGC
rnacentral:lncRNA from 10 species